ACGCUCGACACCUACGGGAGGCAGCAGUGGGGAAUAUUGCACAAUGGGGGAAACCCUGAUGCAGCGACGCCGCGUGAGCGAAGAAGUAUCUCGGUAUGUAAAGCUCUAUCAGCAGGGAAGAAGAUGACGGUACCUGACUAAGAAGCACCGGCUAAAUACGUGCCCGCAGCCGCGGUAAUCUGAGCGGCUGGCAAGGC
rnacentral:rRNA from 1 species